rnacentral:ribozyme from 1 species
UUUUUUUUUUUUUUUUUUUUUUUUUUUUUUUUUUUUUGCUC